GGCAGUGAGUGGGAGUUAGUGGUGGCAGUGAGUGGGAGUUAGUGGUGGCAGUGAGUGGGAGUUAGUGGGGGCAGUGAGUGGGAGUUAGUGGUGGCAGUGAGUAUAGUGAGUUAGUGGGGGCAGUGAGUGGGAGUUAGUGGUGGUGGCAGUGAGUAUAGUGAGUUAGUGGUGGCAGUGAGUGGGAGUUAGUGGUGGCAGUGAGUGGGAGUUAGUGGUGGCAGUGAGUGGGAGUUAGUGGUGGCAGUGAGUACAGUGAGUUAGUGGGGGCAGUGAGUACAGUGAGUUAGUGGGGGCAGUGAGUACAGUGAGUUAGUGGUGGUGGCAGUGAGUGGGAGUUAGUGGUGGUGGUGGCAGUGAAUGGGAGUUAGUGGUGGCAGUGAGUACAGUGAGUUAGUGGUGGUGGUGAGUGGGAGUUAGUGGGGGCAGUGAGUGGGAGUUAGUGGUGGCAGUGAGUACAGUGAGUUAGUGGUGGUGGUGAGUGGGAGUUAGUGGUGGCAGUGAGUACAGUGAGUUAGUGGUGGCAGUGAGUGGGAGUUAGUGGUGGCAGUGAGUGGGUGUUAGUGGUGGCAGUGAGUACAGUGAGUUAGUGGUGGUGGUGAGUGGGAGUGGUGGCAGUGAGUGGGAGUUAGUGGUGGCAGUGAGUGGGAGUUAGUGGGAGUUAGUGGUGGCAGUGAGUACAGUGAGUUAGUGGUGGCGGUGAGUAGGAGUUAGUGGUGGCAGUGAGUGUGAGUUAGUGGUGGCAGUGAGUACAGUGAGUUAGUGGUGGUGGUGAGUGGGAGUUAGUGGUGGCAGUGAGUGGGAGUUAG